UACGUAGGUGGCAAGCGUUGUCCGGAUUUACUGGGCGUAAAGAGCGCGCAGGCGGUCGUAUAAGUCGAAUGUGAAAGCCCCCGGCUCAACUGGGGAGGGUCAUUCGAUACUGUUCGACUCGAAGGCAGGAGAGGGAAGUGGAAUUCCGGGUGUAGUGGUGAAAUGCGUAGAGAUCUGGAGGAACACCGAUGGCGAAGGCAGCCUUCUGGGCCAACACUGACGCUCAUGCACGAAAGCGUGGGGAGCAAACAGG
rnacentral:rRNA from 1 species